rnacentral:rRNA from 1 species
AGUUUUGAGCUAAAUAUAUUUAUAAUAUUAGUUAUUUAUGAAGGUGUUGUAAAACCUUUAUUUAAAAUUAUAUUUAGGGGUGAUAGGCCUUUCAAAAACUAAGAUAUCUUGAAUCUAAUUAAAAGUAUGUAGUACAAUUAACACAAUUAUUAAGUGAUUAGGCUUUAUAAAAUUAUUAACUUAUAAGAUUUUAUUUACUAUAAUUUAAUAAUUAAGUACAUAAAUAUAUCAAUAUUCAAAUAUUAUAGUUUAUAAAAGAGUAAUUAGAUAGAUUUAAGUUCAUAUUUCUUAUAAUAAUGUUAAUAUUAGUAUUAAGUUUAUAUUUAUAUGAUGAACUCGGCAAAAAUACUUCUCAACUGUUUAUCAAAAACAUAACUAUGUGAAUGAAUACAUAGCGGUUUCUGCUCAA